CCUACGGGUGGCAGCAGUGAGGAAUAUUGGUCAAUGGGCGGAAGCCUGAACCAGCCAAGUCGCGUGAGGGAAUAAGGCCCUACGGGUCGUAAACCUCUUUUGCCGGGGAGCAAGGGCGGGGACGUGUCCCGGCCCGGAGAGUACCCGGAGAAAAAGCAUCGGCUAACUCCGUGCCAGCAGCCGCGGUAAUACGGAGGAUGCGAGCGUUAUCCGGAUUGAUUGGGUUUAAAGGGUGCGUAGGCGGGCGUUUAAGUCAGCGGUAAAAAUUCGGGGCUCAACCCCGUCCGGCCGUUGAAACUGGUGGCCUUGAGUGGGCGAGAAGAAGGCGGAAUGCGUGGUGUAGCGGUGAAAUGCAUAGAUAUCACGCAGAACCCCGAUUGCGAAGGCAGCAUUCCGGCGCCCUACUGACGCUGAGGCACGAAAGUGCGGGGAUCGAACAGGAUUAGAUACCCGGGUAGUC
rnacentral:rRNA from 1 species